GUGAGAAAACCAUGUCCCUGAAAAUGAAAGACAAACUGGAUGAAUCUAAAUCUUACCCAUUGCUUGAAGCCAAGCCCAGCUGGCCAAUUCUACGUGGAAAAAUACCUGGUACCUCAGGUCCUGAGCAAAGUGGGACCCAGUUAUUUCAGAGUUGGAGAACUUCUCAGUUUCACUUGUCUUCAGGGUCAAAUUGUUGAAUAGUGACCAGAACUUCCCUGCCACUGUGAUGAUGUGCCUGGUACCUACCAGUUGAUCUUUAGAAAAUAAAGUUACUGACUAAGAAUGUCACAGUGAUUGCUUCAUCAAGAUGAAGAGUGCCCAGGUUCCUCAAUUGAGCUUCACCCACCAGACUUUUAACUACACCAAAAAGACUAUGCAUUGGAAAGUACAAUUGCCAGGGUUUCCAUGGAAACCAGAGUACAAAGAG